AGUGAACGCUGGCGGUAGGCCUAACACAUGCAAGUCGAACGGCAGCACAGUAAGAGCUUGCUCUUACGGGUGGCGAGUGGCGGACGGGUGAGGAAUACAUCGGAAUCUACUUUUUCGUGGGGGAUAACGUAGGGAAACUUACGCUAAUACCGCAUACGACCUACGGGUGAAAGCAGGGGAUCUUCGGACCUUGCGCGAUUGAAUGAGCCGAUGUCGGAUUAGCUAGUUGGCGGGGUAAAGGCCCACCAAGGCGACGAUCCGUAGCUGGUCUGAGAGGAUGAUCAGCCAAACUGGAACUGAGACACGGUCCAGACUCCUACGGGAGGCAGCAGUGGGGAAUAUUGGACAAUGGGCGCAAGCCUGAUCAAGCCAUACCGCGUGGGUGAAGAAGGCCUUCGGGUUGUAAAGCCCUUUUGUUGGGAAAGAAAAGCAGCAGGUUAAGACCCCGCUGUUCUGACGGUACCCAAAGAAUAAGCACCGGCGAACUUCGG
rnacentral:rRNA from 1 species